rnacentral:rRNA from 1 species
AUAGCCUAACGGCUGAACCCGCCACCUGGAGGAAUGUAUAGCAAUAGCUAAUUGCACUAGAUAUAUCUAGUGUAAAAUCGACUAUGUUGAAUAAAAUUCUGGGUAGGCUUUUGAUAAUGACAUUAUCUGCCCAUAAGUCUUGACCAAAUUACGUGCCAGCAGUCGCGGUAAUACGUAGAAGACAAGUGUUAUUCAUCUUUAAUAGGUUUAAAGGGUACCUAGACGGGAAAUAAAGCCUCAAAAAGGGACUAAUUUUUCUAGAGUUUUAUGUGAAGAAGUAUUAAAGUACUAGAGGUGCAGAGAUGAAAUUCAGUCAUACCUUGAUGGCACAGGUUAAGGCAAAGGCGUCUUCUUAUGUAAAAA